ACGGCCCUAUGAAGUUAAAACAUCAGUACUCGUACGAUCAUCGAAGUUAAGCAACGUCAAGCCUAGUUAGUACCUAGAUGAGUGACUGUUUGGGAAUACCGGGUGCUGUAAG
rnacentral:rRNA from 1 species